GAUGAACGCUAGCGGGAGGCCUAACACAUGCAAGCCGAGCGGUAGGGUUUCUUCGGAAACUUGAGAGCGGCGCACGGGUGCGUAACACGUGUGCAACCUACCUUUAUCUGGGGGAUAGCCUUUCGAAAGGAAGAUUAAUACCCCAUAAUAUAAUGAUUGGCAUCAAUUAUUAUUGAAAACUCCGGUGGAUAGAGAUGGGCACGCGCAAGAUUAGAUAGUUGGUGAGGUAACGGCUCACCAAGUCAAUGAUCUUUAGGGGUCCUGAGAGGGAGAUCCCCCACACUGGUACUGAGACACGGACCAGACUCCUACGGGAGGCAGCAGUGAGGAAUAUUGAACAAUGGGUGAGAGCCUGAUCCAGCCAUCCCGCGUGAAGGAUGACGGUCCUAUGGAUUGUAAACUUCUUUUGUACAGGGAUAAACCUACCCUCGUGAGGGUAGCUGAAGGUACUGUACGAAUAAGCACCGGCUAACUCCGUG
rnacentral:rRNA from 1 species